rnacentral:rRNA from 1 species
CAGGUGUAGCAAUACGUGCUGACGAUCGGCGAACGGUUGAGCAAUGCUUCGGAAUUUGCCCAAUGAUGGGGAAUAAUCAGUCGAAAGAUUGGGUAAUAUCGCAUACGCCCUCCGGGGGAAAGCGGGGGUCGCAAGACCUCGCGUCGAUGGAUGAGCCGAAGUUGGAUUAGAUAGUUGGUAGUGUAACUCUCUGCCAAGGUGACGAUCUGUAGCUGGUUGGAGAGGACGACCAGCCACACUGGGAUUGAGACCCGGCCCAGACUCCUGCGGGAGGCAGCAGUGGGGAAUAUUGGACAAUGGGGGCAACCCUGAUCCAGCGACUCCGCGUGUGUGAAGAAGGCUUGCGGG